GUCAGUAGAAUAGUUCAGUCAGUAGAGUGUAAGAUUCUUAAUCUCAGGGUUCUGGGUUCGAACCCCACACUGGACA